GGAAAACAAGCACACAGCUAAGUAGGUUAAAGGUCAACAAACACAUUUUUAUGCGGUGUGUAUGAAAGGAAGGAAAGCUACGAAAUAAGGAUAGGAUUCGUUGAUAUGGUGAGGUAUCUAGAUUAUGGUCAAGUGUAGGGUUCGACAAAUAGAAGGGUCUAUAGUGAGCUGAGUAACUCAUAGGAUCAGGUGGAAUCCGCC
rnacentral:lncRNA from 1 species